rnacentral:rRNA from 1 species
AGGUAUUGAAAUAAGGCUUUAAAUGAGUGCUAAGAGAAUGGUUUAACAAUUAUAAGCUUUCUUUAAUUAAAAAAUUAAAUUUAAUUUUUUUGUGAAGAAGCAAAAAUUUAAAUUAGGGACAAGAAGACCCUAUGAAUUUUAUAUUAAAUAAUAUAAUUUAAUUAAAUUAUAUUAUUUAAAUUAAUUGGGGUGAUUUAAAAAGAAUAUAUAUCUUUUUAAAAAGUUAAUUUGUUCCGUUUUUAACGAUUUUAUGAAAAAAAUACUCUAGGGAUAACAGCGUAAUAAUUUUGGAUAGUUCAUAUAGAUAAAAUAGUUUGCGACCUCGAUGUUGGAUUAGGAUUCUUUUUUAAUGAAGAAAUUAAAAAGAAGAAGUUUGUUCAACUUUUAAAUUCCUACUUGAUC